AUUGAACGCUGGCGGCAUGCUUUACACAUGCAGGUCGAACGGCAGCGCGGGCUUCGGCCUGGCGGCGAGUGGCGAACGGGUGAGUAAUACAUCGGAACGUGCCCAGUAGUGGGGGAUAGCUCGGCGAAAGCCGGAUUAAUACCGCAUACGACCUGAGGGUGAAAGCGGGGGAUCUUCGGACCUCGCGCUAUUGGAGCGGCCGAUGGCAGAUUAGCUAGUUGGUGGGGUAAAGGCCUACCAAGGCGACGAUCUGUAGCUGGUCUGAGAGGACGACCAGCCACACUGGGACUGAGACACGGCCCAGACUCCUACGGGAGGCAGCAGUGGGAAAUUUUGGACAAUGGGCGAAAGCCUGAUCCAGCAAUGCCGCGUGUGUGAUGAAGGCCUUCGGGUUGUAAAGCACUUUUGGCGGGAACGAAAAGGACUGUGCCAAUACCACGGUUCGAUGACGGUACCCGCAGAAUAAGCACCGGCUAACUACGUG
rnacentral:rRNA from 1 species